GAAAAUCCUGGAGAACAGAGUGGAAGAAACGCGUAUUCCACAUUUCCUGUUGAUUUUCUUUCCUCCCUAAACACUGACCUCCCGCAGUCUUCACUAGCAGGGUAACAGAAGCAAAUCAUCAGUGCCUGUCUUUGAACUUGAUGAAACUGUCUCAGCCUCAUGACCUGUGGUACUAGACAGAGACCACAACACCUUGUCUAUCCAGAGUGUGGGAGCACUGUGUGCAGUUAGCUCCUGGAGGCUUGUCCUCAGUAGGCUUAGGGCAUGAGGAGCCCUGGAAAGCCCAGGACCCCAUGGAGGGCCCUGGAGAAACAGCACCUGUGGCUGAGGGGUUCACAGGCCCAGCGAGAUCCACUCAGGUGAGGUCACCUGUAGAGGUCAUGCUGCGGAGUCCCGAGUCCCUGAUUAUAUUCAAGACGUGGAGCUCUCUUUUUCCCGUCCUGCUUUCUUUCCAGAAGUGCCUCAGAUGCAUCCUCCCCUUCUCUUUUCUCCACAUGAAGACGUCACUGACCAUCUUCUCUGGUUUGCUUUCCAACACCGAGCACCAAGUGCUUCAAAGGUCAUGGUGCCCUGGGGCCGAGAGCUACUUAUGUGGGCAUUUAUAACCAAAUAAAUAUUGAAAUGGCCCACAAAGCAAAUGUUAGUGGUAACCAACAGCGGUAAAACUGGGUACAUGGGACCCUGAACCUUCUUGAAUAUUCCCCAUGAGACCCUGGGCCGACCUUCGGGCUUUCCAGUGUGCUCAGAAAAUCCUCCGUGGCUCCCAGCCCCAGCUUAGUCUUUCAACGGUCCUCGGACUGAAGCAAGAGACAGGGAAGGAAUUGUCCAAGGUUUUCCAGCAUGCUGAGAACACUUACCAUGGUGGAGCCUGGCACGUACUGGCUCUUUGAUGCAUGUGUAUUGGUCUCAAGUAGCCAGAAGCAUCUCCUCUGAGAGCCCUUGCCCUCCAGUUUAAAUGGCAAAUGGAAGGGAAUGGGUUCUGGAAGGCCCCAGGUGGGCUGGGGUGGGUUCUGGAGACCAUCUUCCAACUCCUGUUCAGGAGGAGGGUUGGUCAGAUCAGCUCUGUGGCCACCUGGGCUCUGGAGGGGCGAGAUACGGGCAGGUGCGGCCACAGGAGGGAGAGCACCAUGUGCGGGGGAAGCCCACAGCUGGAACCAAAAGGCCCCAGGAGGGAUCCUGGCUCUGACAUCUCCCAGCCGUGUGGCCUUGGGCAAGGUCCCUGACUUGGACCUCAGCCUCCUCAUCUGUAAAACAGGCAGAACAGUAAUACCGACCUUGUAGGUUGUAUAGAGUUCAUAUACAUCAAGCACUUACCACAGUGCCUGGCGGACCGCAUGCCCUAAACACACAAUCCGUGAAAUGAAUCCAUCAGCAAGCAGCUGCUAGGGGCAGUGUGGGGCAGAGAGGCAGCUGCCUGCUGGAACUGGCUGACAGGAGGAUGAGUGUGUGGCAGGAGGAACGCUCUGCACAGAGGACACUAGGUAGCGUCACCUGUCUCUUACCCUGUGUCUCCACUGGAAUGGAAUGUCAGACUCGCACCAUGCAUUCCUUUCCCUGCCAAAACGCCUCCUCUUAGCAGUGAGCAAGAAAGUUGUUCGAGUGGAUGAAGCCAAAAGCCCAUUUGGCAAGAGUGCUGUUUUGGAAAAUGCUUAGCGGUGUGGGUUGGGAUGAGGUUUUCUGUGCCUUUCCAUUAUUUCUUCAGCUUCAUGUAACCCUGACUGAGCAAUGCUCAGCAGAGUGAAGGCUGGGCAGCAGAUGGACAAGAUUUUCUCAAACUCCUUUUUAAGCCAAUUUCAAAAUAGAGAGAGGGAAAAAUCCUUGUUUUCUCUUUUCGGUUUUGAGAGGUUUCAUAUGCAGACACAAUUUUAAAUUUUAUUUUUUUUGCCCCCAAUGAGAUGUUUGGAGAUGGUGGUACUAGAACAGGAAGGAAUUUAUAAGUAUUGGGGAAUUUUUCAUCCCAAUUCCCAUAUCCUCCUAUAAUUCAAGGAGUGAAUGGGUAGUGUUUUUGUUUUUGUGAGAGGGGUGGCGGAGGGUAGAGAGAGAAAGAGAGAGAGACAGAGAGAGAUUACAUAGAGGUGUCCAAAAUGAACACAGUAAAAACCAGUUUUGAUUAAUUCUGCAAUAUUAAGUAGGCAGCCAAAAAUUUUGGUCUGCUUAAUUCUUAGCUCAUCUAAGUCUCCAGUUGACUGAUUGAUUGAUUGAAUGACUUAUUCAACAUGCGCUAGCCAGACACU
ensembl:lncRNA LINC00323 long intergenic non-protein coding RNA 323